rnacentral:misc_RNA from 1 species
CCCGCCUACAAGUCUCACAAAUUCAUUCCUCAUUCUUCCCGGGCCGACAUUCUCCAAUUCGGAAGUAGAACGUACUAGUUUUGAAAUCCGCCUCUCCGUCCUCGAAAUCCACCCAGCCGGCCCCAAAACCGAAACAAAAGCAAGCUCGCAUGCCGAAAAGACGACGAGGAGGGAACUUUCGGGAACACCGGCCGCCGCCGCCGCAGUCCACCGCUUUCAUGGAUGCUACUAUGCUAGCACCGUACGGCCGUAUUUACUAGUAUGCCCCCGUGAGCCACCGCACGAACCCGUAGAACGACGCGCUGCCGUCGUCCGCGUCCCUCCGCCGCGUCGGGGGGGCCACGCCGCCGUCCAUGUCCCACCACCACUCCGCCGUGGCCGCGGCCGUCACGGUCCCAGCGUCGUACCGGUUGCUCCAGCGCCCGCUGCUCCACCGGCUGCUCCACCGGUUGCUCCACCUGCUGCUCCACCGCUCCGCCGUCGACCUGAACGAUGCCGUAGGGGUCAGGCCCACGGACGACGUUGGCUGCCCGCGCUCCACCGCGGCGAGCUGUUGCUGCUGCUGGCUUGUCGGGUCGCUGGACCCGGCGGCGGCGGGCGGGGUCGGUUUGAGCACCACCUGGAGCUCUUCCUCGACGAGGUACUCCGACGACGCCGAGUCGGGGAGGCCACCGGGGAGCGGGUACGCGCGGACGGCGGCGGCCGCAGCGUCCGGGUUGGAGCGGCGGCUGCUGACGCUGCCGAGCUCCACACGGAGGAGGUCCGUGAGCGGCGGGUGGGGCAGCGCGAUGGAGGCGCGGCACAGCGGGCAGGACGGGUUGGCGCGAAGCCACGGGUCCACGCAGCGGGAGUGGAAGGCGUGGCGGCAGGCGGGCAGGAGGCGGAGCCCGUCGUCGUCGCGGAACGCGGUCUGGCACACGGCGCAGUCGCGCGACGACUUGGGCACGGCGGCCAGCGACGAGGACAGCGUGAACUGCGGCAGGCGCGCGAUGAGCCGCUCCGCCUCUGCCUCCGCCGCGGCCGCCGCCUUCCCUCCUCCGCCCUGGCCGUCGGCGGGCGCCACGGACGCCCCCGCCGCGGGGCGCGCCACGAGCGGGAGCGGCGGAGCCUGCCGGGACAAAGAGGAGGAGGAGGAGGAGGACCCCGCUGGGCCCACGUGGCGGCAGAGGUGGCGGAUAAAGUAGUGGAUGCACAGCGACGCGAGCAGCAUCACCACCACGAUGACUGCGAUGACGAGGAUGCUCGGCGAGAUGCCCGCCACGCUGCCGCUCCCGCUCCCGCCACCUCCCGCGCUACUCCCUCGCGCGUCACCCCUUCCGUCCCCGCCGCCAUCGUCCGCCAGCCGCGGCACCAGCGGCACUCUCCGCUCCGGCACUGCCGGAGGCGGCGGGGACGGGAUGGCGGUAGAUGCCAUCAACGUGUACUUGUCCCAGCCGCCCGCGCGCUCUGCCUCCUGCUGGUGUGGUGGCGAGCGCGGGUGGAGGACGGCUUGUCCGUGGGCCGUGGCUUAUAAGUGUAGUUUUGUCCGGUGGCGGCUUGCCAUUUAUAGUUGUGCCGGCUAAUUUGUCCAGGGCGACUGAUAGAAGAUGAGGGGAUGGGACUCGGACUGCGACUGGGACUGGACCAGGUGUUACGUUGGAUUCUUGCGUGAUUAUAC